UUUGUGUAUAGGUAGCAAUUCUUUACAGUUUUUGGCGUUAGACAAAAACCCUAUAAUUGUCUUGAACUUUACUUGUUUAUACAUUUUUUUAAGGUUAAGCAUGAAACUUGAGAUUUUUUGCAUUAUUUAGUUUAAAUCUACUUCUUCUCAACCAUAUAUAGGAAGUACUAUUUACUACUUUAUAUACUAUUUUUAUGGCUUCACUUAUAUAUUUUACUUUUCAGAGUUUCAGAAAAAAAUUUAUAUUCAAACUUGCUAAAAUGAAAAAAAUUUUAAUAGAUAGAACUGCACUGUUCUCUAAUUAUCUAGAAGAAGGUUUAAACAACGUAAAAGUUCAGAUAAGCUUAAUGUUUUGAAUAAAAAAUUCGCAAAUGGAGAUAUCCAAUACAUCACUUUUGUAAAACAGUUGUAUUAAUUGGCGGUAAAAAUCUAACUGAUACAAUUAAAAAUAUUUCGCUCUUACUGUCAACAGACACUAUUUUGUCAGAAUACAGCAUGAAU